UACGUAGGGCGCAAGCGUUGUCCGGAAUUAUUGGGCGUAAAGAGCUCGUAGGCGGUUUGUCGCGUCUGCUGUGAAAACUCGAGGCUCAACCUCGGGCUUGCAGUGGGUACGGGCAGACUAGAGUGCGGUAGGGGAGACUGGAAUUCCUGGUGUAGCGGUGGAAUGCGCAGAUAUCAGGAGGAACACCGGUGGCGAAGGCGGGAUCCUGGGCCAGUACUGACGCUGAGGAGCGAAAGCGUGGGGAGCAAACAGG
rnacentral:rRNA from 1 species